rnacentral:lncRNA from 1 species
CUGGAGGGAUCCAAACCACAUUUCCCACCUCCCAAGAGAGGGCCCAAACCAACGGGGGUAAAAUGAGGUUGAGAUUGGGGAGAUAGGCUGUUCAGCCGUCUCUUCUCCUUGAAGCUGCACAGAAGUGCAUUCCGGGGGGCAUAGGGAGAUCAAAGGAACUCCCGGAACUCAGACGCACGUAGACCACCACUCGCAGUCUCGUGGUUAUGCUCUCAGCUGGCCAGCCUGGGCUCUGGGUUAGAGUUGCUCUAGUUAGAGCCUUUCAUAUGAAAAUCAGUCAUAGGGCAAAAAAGAACAGAACUGCAUCUCACAGCAGGGAGAGGAAUCCAGUGUCUCCAUCGCUUCUCCUCGCCGGAGGUGUCUGUAUCAAAGAGUCGGGAAUCAGGGAGCUGCAGAGAGCUGCUGAAGAAAGCAGCAGCCCUCAGGCAGAAACCCAUGAAAAGUCACACGCCAUCCCAGAGCAUUCAGGCCAU